GAUGAACGCUGGCGGCGUGCCUAACACAUGCAAGUCGAGCGAUUCUCUUCGGAGAAGAGCGGCGGACGGGUGAGUAACGCGUGGGUAACCUGCCCUGUACACACGGAUAACAUACCGAAAGGUAUGCUAAUACGAGAUAAUAUGCUUUUAUCGCAUGGUAGAAGUAUCAAAGCUUUUGCGGUACAGGAUGGACCCGCGUCUGAUUAGCUAGUUGGUAAGGUAACGGCUUACCAAGGCGACGAUCAGUAGCCGACCUGAGAGGGUGAUCGGCCACAUUGGAACUGAGACACGGUCCAAACUCCUACGGGAGGCAGCAGUGGGGAAUAUUGGACAAUGGGCGAAAGCCUGAUGCAGCAGCGCCGCGUGAGCGAUGAAGGCCUUCGGGUCGUAAAGCUCUGUCCUCAAGGAAGAUAAUGACGGUACUUGAGGAGGAAGCCCCGGCUAACUACGUGCCAGCCGCCGCCGUAA
rnacentral:rRNA from 1 species